rnacentral:misc_RNA from 1 species
GAUGAAGAACGCAGCGAAAUGCGAUAAGUAAUGUGAAUUGCAGAAUUCAGUGAAUCAUCGAAUCUUUGAACGCACAUUGCGCCCCUUGGUAUUCCGGGGGGCAUGCCUCUUCCAGCGUCAUUUCACCCCUCAAGCUCUGCUUGGUUCUGGGCCGCGCCGGCAACGGCGGGCCUCGAAAAUAGUGGCGACGCCAUCGUGCUCUCAGCGUAGUAAUUCUUCUCGCUGUUGGGUCCCGGUGGUCGUCCGCCAGCAACCCCCAACUUUCUUAAGUUUGACCUGGGAUGAGGUAGGGAUACCCGCUGAACUUAAGCAUAUCAAUAAGCGGAGGA